ncrna:unclassified sequences GP20-a RNA
AUUGCCCCUGCCUGCCGGGCUUAAAAUGCAGGAUAGGCCGUGCGCGGAGUGGCCGCGCGUUUACAAGUAAAAUCUGGCUGAAAAAGGAGAAU